CGAUGGCAGAUGAUCGCUGGUGAGCCGCUUUGGUUUGCUAGAGGAAAGUCCGAACACCAUACGGCAGCAUGCCGCGUAAAAUACGCGGGCGCCGCGGUUGUAAAACUGCGGUGACGGAAAGUGUCACAGAAAAAGACACCGCCGGUUCUUUGGCAACAGAGAUGCAGGCAAGGGUGAAAAGGCGAGGUAAGAGCUCACCGCUUGCGAAGUAAUUCGCGAGGCACGAAAAACCCCAUGCGGUGCAAGACAAAACAGAGGAAGGGCAGCCGGCCUGCAAAAAAUCCUCGGGUAUCGUCGCAUCACGGCGAAUGAAAGUUCGCCGGGCAUUCGGAGAAAUCCGGGUGAGAUAAAUGAUCAUCCGCGUGAGCAAUCACGCUGACAGAAUUCGGCUUACCGCCAUCGAAAU
rnacentral:RNase_P_RNA from 1 species